rnacentral:rRNA from 1 species
UACGUAGGGGGCAAGCGUUGUCCGGAUUUAUUGGGCGUAAAGAGCGUGUAGGCGGUUUGGUAGGUCCGCUGUGAAAACUCGAGGCUCAACCUCGAGACGCCGGUGGAAACCAUCAGACUAGAGUCCGGAAGAGGAGAGUGGAAUUCCUGGUGUAGCGGUGAAAUGCGCAGAUAUCAGGAAGAACACCCGUGGCUAAGGCGGCUCUCUAGUACGGUACUGACGCUGAGACGCGAAAGCGUGGGGAGCUAACAGG